GCACCGAAAGGGCAUUGGUGGAACCCCGGCGGUGGCGAAAACUGCCCAACUGCAGGACAUUCGUACCCAGCGACGCCCUCCCGUCCUCUCUCACGAUGCCCUCCUAAGGAGUAAGCCCCAGGUUCGAAUCCUGGUCGGGGCG
rnacentral:tRNA from 1 species